rnacentral:tRNA from 1 species
GGGGAUUUAGCUCAGCGGUAGAGCGCUUGCCUAGCACGCGCAAGGCCCUGGGUUCAGUCCCCG